rnacentral:rRNA from 1 species
UACGUAGGGGGCGAGCGUUGUCCGGAAUUAUUGGGCGUAAAGAGCUCGUAGGCGGUGUGUCACGUCGGCCGUGAAAACCUGCAGCUUAACUGUGGGCGUGCGGUCGAUACGGGCAUCACUGGAGUUCGGCAGGGGAGACUGGAAUUCCUGGUGUAGCGGUGAAAUGCGCAGAUAUCGGGAAGAACACCCGUGGCGAAGGCGGCUCUCUGGGACGGUACUGACGCUGAGACGCGAAAGCGUGGGGAGCGAACAGG